rnacentral:ncRNA from 1 species
GAAAAGGUUAUGACAAGGACAUGAGUGUUCACUUACGGUUUACAGAGAGGGAAGAUGAAGCUGGGAGCUUCCCAACACGAUUUGAAUGCUUACCCCCUUGGAACUCCAUUCUCGAAUUUACAGUAGUGAAUGGCGGAGACUUCCGUUACAUCUUCUGAAAGUCAUUGGCUGUUUGCCAAUGAGAAUUAGGGUGGAACCACGUGAACAAACUCGUCCCUUUC